CCUACGGGAUGCACCAGUGGGGAAUAUUGCACAAUGGGCGCAAGCCUGAUGCAGCCAUGCCGCGUGUGUGAAGAAGGCCUUCGGGUUGUAAAGCACUUUCAGCGGGGAGGAAGGCGUUAGGUUAAUAACCUUGGCGAUUGACGUUACCCGCAGAAGAAGCACCGGCUAACUCCGUGCCAGCAGCCGCGGUACUACGGAGGGUGCAAGCGUUAAUCGGAAUUACUGGGCGUAAAGCGCACGCAGGCGGCCUGUCAAGUCGGAUGUGAAAUCCCCGGGCUCAACCUGGGAACUGCAUUCGAAACUGGCAGGCUAGAGUCUUGUAGAGGGGGGUAGAAUUCCAGGUGUAGCGGUGAAAUGCGUAGAGAUCUGGAGGAAUACCGGUGGCGAAGGCGGCCCCCUGGACAAAGACUGACGCUCAGGUGCGAAAGCGUGGGGAGCAAACAGGAUUAGAUACCCUCGUAGUC
rnacentral:rRNA from 1 species